CAUCACCCACUUGUGCACUACAAAACCAGUUUCUCUGAUAUGCAGAAGGAAUUCUGGCCAGCAAAUGCCACCAACACUUGACAACUUGAAAUGCUGAAUAGCUUAAGUGGUCAAAGAGCGUUACUUCUCUUCCCAUCCUUGAUGAUGAAGUUGGGCAUCCCUACUAUGUAGCAAAGGAUGCUGUUUCCAACACUCCACUACUUGAAGAUAUGGCAUGGAAUGGAGGACUUCCUGGCCAGUGUGAGAAAUAUGGUGUGAGACCCUGGGCUGAGAUCCUGCCAUUGAAGUCCAUGGCAUCUCUCCAGCUUUUCAGCAUGUUCAGACUUCCACUGGUGAGAUCAGUGCAAAAUAAUGAUG